rnacentral:rRNA from 1 species
GGAAACUGCCUGAUGGAGGGGGAUAACUACUGGAAACGGUGGCUAAUACCGCAUAACGUCGCAAGACCAAAGAGGGGGACCUUCGGGCCUCUUGCCAUCAGAUGUGCCCAGAUGGGAUUAGCUAGUUGGUGAGGUAACGGCUCACCAAGGCGACGAUCCCUAGCUGGUCUGAGAGGAUGACCAGCCACACUGGAACUGAGACACGGUCCAGACUCCUACGGGAGGCAGCAUGGGGGAAUAUUGCACAAUGGGCGCAAGCCUGAUGCAGCCAUGCCGCGGGUAUGAAGAAGGCCUUCGGGUUGUAAAGUACUUUAAGCCGGGAGGAAGGUGUUGUGGUUAAUAACCGCA